GUGGGGAAUUUUGGACAAUGGGCGCAAGCCUGAUCCAGCCAUGCCGCGUGCAGGAUGAAGGCCUUCGGGUUGUAAACUGCUUUUGUACGGAACGAAAAGACUUCUUCUAAUACAGGAGGUCCAUGACGGUACCGUAAGAAUAAGCACCGGCUAACUACGUGCCAGCAGCCGCGGUAAUACGUAGGGUGCAAGCGUUAAUCGGAAUUACUGGGCGUAAAGCGUGCGCAGGCGGUUAUAUAAGACAGAUGUGAAAUCCCCGGGCUCAACCUGGGAACUGCAUUUGUGACUGUAUAGCUAGAGUAUGGUAGAGGGGGAUGGAAUUCCGCGUGUAGCAGUGAAAUGCGUAGAUAUGCGGAGGAACACCGAUGGCGAAGGCAAUCCCCUGGACCUGUACUGACGCUCAUGCACGAAAGCGUGGGGAGCAAACAGGAUUAGAUACCCCGGUAGUCC
rnacentral:rRNA from 1 species